GGGGGGGGGGGGGGGGGGGGGGGGGGGGGGGGGGGGGGGGGGGGGGGGGGGGCUUGGGCCGCUGGCGUUGGCGGCGGGGGGGUGGGUAACCCGUGGGUAACCUGCCUCUCAGGCUGGGAUAACUUCGGGGAACCGGAGCUCAUACCCGAUCAUAUAUUGAACCGCAUGGUUCACGCGUGAGAGACGGUGUUGCUGUCUCUUCUAUAUGGAUCCGCGCCGCAGUAGCUAGUUGGUGAGGUCACGGCUUACCAAGUCAACGAUGCUUAGCCGACCUGAGAGGGUGAUCGGCCACACUGGAACUGAGACACGGUCCAGACUACUACGGGAGGCAGCAGUAGGGAAUCUUCCGCAAUGGGCGAAAGCCUGACGGAGCAACGCAGCGUGAGUGAUGAAGGUCUUCGGAUCGUAAAACUCUGUUAUUAGGGAAGAACAAAUGUGUAAGUAACUAUGCACGUCUUGACGGUACCUAAUCAGAAAGCCACGGCUAACUACGUG
rnacentral:rRNA from 1 species